UUAUUGUUAUGUUCGAGCUUUAACUAGGCCAUGCUAUGAUGGGAUCGGCAAAGGCUUUCUCGGUGUUGGUGGAAGCAAAGGCUCUCUGUGGACCACCUCUCUCGAUGAAAUAAAUCUGCAAGUGUAUUGACUAGCAAUCCACUGCUUUAUUCAUUAAUUAUCAGGGUUACUUUUGAUCACCCUCCUCAAAAUGAGGACAGAGCAGCUUUCAGAAAACCUAUUUGUCUCCCAUUAGGGUUUCUACCGAAACCUUUUGGCCCCAUGGCAGCUCAUCAUGCCCCCGGGAACCACCGGUCACCCAGAUUUCCCUCCCCACCAAUCAAGUUUUAUAUUAAGCUUCCUUGGUUGAUACUCGGAUUGUGUCAUAAGAUAUCUCUACUCUACACUAAUAUUUAAGAGCUGGGCCAAAUUAGUUUGACUCGGGAAGGAAUUUUGACCUGAAAUUCUAUGGUAUUUUAAUUUUGCUUCACUUUAUAAUGUCUAAACCGACCAGAUUUAAA